UCACUGAUGGUCUAGUGGUAAGGAUUCGGUGCUUUCACCACUGCAGCCCGGGUCCAAUUCCCAAUCAGGGAA
rnacentral:tRNA from 1 species